GCCCAGUGAUAAUUUUAAACGGCCGCAGUACCCUGACUGUGCUAAGGUAGCAUAAUCACUUGCUUUUUAAUUGAAAGCUAGAAUGAAUGGCUUGACGAAAACAUAACUGUCUCUUUUACAUUAACUAAAAAUUAAUUUUCAGGUGAAGAAGCCUGAAUAUACUCAAAAGACGAAAAGACCCUAUCGAGCUUAAAAAUAUUUUUAAUCUAUUUUAUCUUAGCUAAAUAAAAAUUAAAAACAAUUUUUUGUUGGGGCGACAGAAGAACAAAUAAAGCUUCUUUUAAUUAAACAAAUUGAUAAAUUUUAAAGACCCAGCAAUACUGAUUAAAAGAAAAGUUACCGUAGGGAUAACAGCGUA
rnacentral:rRNA from 1 species